rnacentral:lncRNA from 10 species
AGGCCCUUUCUUCUGCGCCAUCUUGUGGCAGUUGAGAGCAGGCCCAGGGCAGAAGGGAGGCAGGGGCAUUAAGAGCUCAGGCCUCCAGCUGAGGGACUGCAGAUGUUGGACUCAUGGAGGCAACCACUCAAGGUCACUCUGAGAAGGGUUGAACGUGCUUUAUUAAAAGGACUGAGGAUCAUGUGUGUUGGUGUGUCCCGGAGUCUGCUCUAAGGCCCUGUGGCUGCCUGGUGCCCUGGGAAUGGUCCGGUCAUGGGCCUCAGCCCAGGAUGAGCAGCCAACAAUGCAAUCCCACGAAGAGUGUGCGGAAGGGAGAGGUUACUUCUCAAGAUGGAGCUGCCAAAUAGGGACACUUUGGAGAGUCUGGCCUGAGAACUUUUAGUUUCAAGAAUGUAUUGCUUUGGAAAAGACAGAAUAAAAGUCCAAGCACUGCCACUUA